GUUGUCGUGGCCAAGUGGUUAAGGCGAUGGACUUGAAAUCCGUUGUGCUAUCAGCGCGCAGGUUCAAAUCCUGCUGAUAAUG